rnacentral:tRNA from 1 species
UGGAACAUAGCUCAGUGGUAGAGCUUCCGGCUUAUAUCCGGAGAGUCUUGGGUUCGAUUCCCAAUGUUCCGA